rnacentral:piRNA from 1 species
UGACACUACUUCUCUUGCCUCCCUCUCUCA